rnacentral:misc_RNA from 1 species
GUGGAGUGGACAUAUUGGAGU